rnacentral:tRNA from 1 species
GGUGAUAUAGCUCAGUUGGUAGAGCAUCGGACUGAAAAUCCGUGAGUCGGUGGUUCGAGUCCACUUAUCACCACCA